UAUUAAGCAUAUCAAUAAGCGGAGGAAAAGAAACUAACAAGGAUUCCCCUAGUAACUGCGAGUGAAGCGGGAAAAGCUCAAAUUUAAAAUCUGGCAGUCUUUGGCUGUCCGAGUUGUAGUCUGGAGAAGUGCUUUCCGCGCUGGACCGUGUACAAGUCUCUUGGAACAGAGCGUCAUAGAGGGUGAGAAUCCCGUCUUUGACACGGACUACCAGUGCUUUGUGAUGCGCUCUCAAAGAGUCGAGUUGUUUGGGAAUGCAGCUCAAAAUGGGUGGUGAAUUCCAUCUAAAGCUAAAUAUUGGCGAGAGACCGAUAGCGAACAAGUACCGUGAGGGAAAGAUGAAAAGCACUUUGGAAAGAGAGUUAAACAGUACGUGAAAUUGCUGAAAGGGAAACGCUUGAAGUCAGUCGCGUUGGCCAGGACUCAGCCUUGCUUUUUUGCUUGGUGCAUUUUCUGGUUGACGGGUCAGCAUCAGUUUUGAUUGUCGGAGAAAGGUUGGAGGAAUGUGGCACCUUCGGGUGUGUUAUAGCCUCUGGUCACAUACGACGGUUAGGACUGAGGAUAUCAGCACGCCUUUAUGGCCGGGGUUCGCCCACGUUCGUGCUUAGGAUGCUGGCAUAAUGGCUUUAAGCGACCCGUCUUGAAACACGGACCAAGGAGUCUAACAUACCUGCGAGUGUUUGGGUGGAAAACCCGAGCGCGUAAUGAAAGUGAAAGUUGAGAUCCCUGUUGUGGGGAGCAUCGACGCCCGGACCUGACGUUCUCUGAUGGAUCCGCGGUAGAGCAUGUAUGCUGGGACCCGAAAGAUGGUGAACUAUGCCUGAAUAGGGUGAAGCCAGAGGAAACUCUGGUGGAGGCUCGUAGCGAUUCUGACGUGCAAAUCGAUCGUCAAAUUUGGGUAUAGGGGCGAAAGACUAAUCGAACCAUCUAGUAGCUGGUUCCUGCC
rnacentral:rRNA from 1 species